rnacentral:rRNA from 1 species
CAGAUGGGAGCUUGCUCCCUGAUGUUAGCGGCGGACGGGUGAGUAACACGUGGGUAACCUGCCUGUAAGACUGGGAUAACUCCGGGAAACCGGGGCUAAUACCGGAUGGUUGUUUGAACCGCAUGGUUCAGACAUAAAAGGUGGCUUCGGCUACCACUUACAGAUGGACCCGCGGCGCAUUAGCUAGUUGGUGAGGUAACGGCUCACCAAGGCGACGAUGCGUAGCCGACCUGAGAGGGUGAUCGGCCACACUGGGACUGAGACACGGCCCAGACUCCUACGGGAGGCAGCAGUAGGGAAUCUUCCGCAAUGGACGAAAGUCUGACGGAGCAACGCCGCGUGAGUGAUGAAGGUUUUCGGAUCGUAAAGCUCUGUUGUUAGGGAAGAACAAGUGCCGUUCAAAUAGGGCGGCACCUUGACGGUACCUAACCAGAAAGCCACGGCUAACUACGUGCCAGCAGCCGCGGUAAUACGUAGGUGGCAAGCGUUGUCCGGAAUUAUUGGGCGUAAAGGGCUCGCAGGCGGUUUCUUAAGUCUGAUGUGAAAGCCCCCGGCUCAACCGGGGAGGGUCAUUGGAAACUGGGGAACUUGAGUGCAGAAGAGGAGAGUGGAAUUCCACGUGUAGCGGUGAAAUGCGUAGAGAUGUGGAGGAACACCAGUGGCGAAGGCGACUCUCUGGUCUGUAACUGACGCUGAGGAGCGAAAGCGUGGGGAGCGAACAGGAUUAGAUACCCUGGUAG